rnacentral:pre_miRNA from 18 species
AGACGGUGUCAAAGCUGAGGUAGGUGUGAGAAAUGACGAAAGGCUCUUAAUCGUUUCAUUGUCUCGCAGCUGCUUCAACUGUGAUUUACCGACG